GCAAUUUAGUAAAGUGACAAUGCUAGUAUUUGUUCUGGUCAUCAUUAAGAGUUACACAUGUAUAAAGGAAGAAAGAUCGCCUUUUUGUGUGUUCAUGCCAGAGUAAAAUUUUAUACCUACGCAGAGAACCAGCAUCCCUGCUCUUAAGAGACAUUGUGUCCACAUUCCACUCAGUUCCAAAGCACUCCUUAUGCUAGUAAUGCAAACACUUGCUCUCUUCAUUACUGUAUAGUUUGGUUUGU
rnacentral:lncRNA from 1 species